rnacentral:rRNA from 1 species
CCUACGGGUGGCAGCAGUGAGGAAUAUUGGUCAAUGGGCGAGAGCCUGAACCAGCCAAGUCGCGUGAAGGAUGACGGCCCUACGGGUUGUAAACUUCUGUUGUCAGGGAGCAAGUGAGGCCACGUGGGGUCUUAGCGAGAGUACCUGAAGAAAAAGCAUCGGCUAACUCCGUGCCAGCAGCCGCGGGAAUACGGAGGAUGCGAGCGUGAUCCGGAUUUCUUGGGUUUAAAGGGAGCGGAGGCGGAAUAUCAAGUCAGCGGUAAAAAUUCGGGGCUCAACCCCGUCGUGCCGUUGAAACUUCUGUUCUUGCGUGUGCGAGACGUCUGCGGCAUGCGUGGUGUAGCGGUGACAUGCCUAGAUAUCACGCAGUACUCCGAUUGCGAAGGCAGCCUCCCGGCGCCCAACUGACGCUGAAGCACGAAAGCGUGGGUAUCGAACAGGAUUAGAUACCCCGGUAGUC